rnacentral:rRNA from 1 species
GAUGAACGCUGGCGGCGUGCCUAAUACAUGCAAGUCGAGCGAACAGACGAGGAGCUUGCUCCUCUGACGUUAGCGGCGGACGGGUGAGUAACACGUGGAUAACCUACCUAUAAGACUGGGAUAACUUCGGGAAACCGGAGCUAAUACCGGAUAAUAUAUUGAACCGCAUGGUUCAAUAGUGAAAGACGGUUUUGCUGUCACUUAUAGAUGGAUCCGCGCCGCAUUAGCUAGUUGGUAAGGUAACGGCUUACCAAGGCAACGAUGCGUAGCCGACCUGAGAGGGGGAUAGGCCACACUGGAACUGAGAGACGGUCCAGACGCCGACGGGAGGCAGCAGUAGGGAAUAUGCCGCAAUGGGCGAAAGCCUGACGGAGCAACGCCGCGUGAGUGAUGAAGGUCUUCGGAUCGUAAAACUCUGUUAUUAGGGAAGAACAAAUGUGUAAGUAACUAUGCACGUCUUGACGGUACCUAAUCAGAAAGCCACGGCUAACUACGUG